UAUUUUUUAGGAUUAUUGUAGCUGUGAAUUUUGCGUUUUGGGUUGAUCAUUGUUUUUCAAGUUUUUUACUGUUAUACGGUUAGAGUUGUGUUGAUGAACUGUGUAUGCACUGUUAUACACUCAUGAAGGACUAAAUUGUGUUAGUAAUGUGAUUGAUAUAGUUUGUGGUGUUGCUUGAUGUGUCACUGAGACUUAUUGUUUAUUUGUCUUUUUAAUUUGUUACUUGUAUUGUUAAGAUUACAUAAAUUAUAUUAAGGUUGUUGAGAGUACCUUUUGUUUCUGGAUAUUUUUUCUCCAGUUUAGUUGUGUGUAUUAAGUAAUAAUUUUUUUUAUUCUUAUUAUGUUGAUUAUAUGUUUUUUUUUAUUUUUAAAUUUGAUGCUUUUACCAGACCAUUAAAACAAAUACAUGAAGACUUGUAUAAAUAACUAUAAAAUGAGUGACAAUUUGUAUUUGGGCCUUAAUGGAUUUUAAACGAAUAUAUGUAUUUCUCAUAAGAAAACAAUAGCAUUGGCUUGUUGAUAUUGAGCAUGUAAGCUAUUUUCAUAAGAUAAGAGGAGUGAGCAGGUGGAGAUGUUGUUGUCGUCUUUGUGUCUGUUGGGAUUGUCUCUUGUAUCUCCUGGUGUGGUUGUGUUUGUUUCUCUUUUAUUUGAUGGGUAACUAAUAUAUAAAUAAAAAAUCAUUGUUAGUUGUAUUUAUUAGAGUUUGUAACCUACUCCGCUUUUUUGUUUAGGUAAUUUCACUAAUCUUGGUUGUCGUCUUCGUCUUCUUGGUAAGCAUCUGCGAAAGUAAAUUUGUAAAUUGUUAAUUAGUUGACCGUGUAGUUUGUAUUUGUUUAGUUGGCUCAAUGUAUAUGUCAUUGAGUUUUAGUUUAGUUGAUUGAUUUGGUAUAUUUGUUUUAAAGUUUACUAGAUCCUUUCUCCGCGCUAUGCGCAGAAAAUAUAUUUAAAUUUGUUAUAUUUAUCAUUUUUAUUUGUAUGUGAAUUUUUGU
rnacentral:lncRNA from 1 species